rnacentral:rRNA from 1 species
AUUGAACGCUGGCGGCAUGCCUUACACAUGCAAGUCGAACGGUAACGGGCCUUCGGGUGCCGACGAGUGGCGAACGGGUGCGUAAUACAUCGGAACGUGCCCGAUCGUGGGGGAUAACGAGGCGAAAGCUUUGCUAAUACCGCAUACGAUCUACGGAUGAAAGCAGGGGACCGCAAGGCCUUGCGCGGACGGAGCGGCCGAUGGCAGAUUAGGUAGUUGGUGGGAUAAGAGCUUACCAAGCCGACGAUCUGUAGCUGGUCUGAGAGGAUGAUCAGCCACACUGGGACUGAGACACGGCCCAGACUCCUACGGGAGGCAGCAGUGGGGAAUUUUGGACAAUGGGCGCAAGCCUGAUCCAGCCAUGCCGCGUGCAGGAUGAAGGCCCUCGGGUUGUAAACUGCUUUUGUACGGAACGAAAAGCCUUCUUUUAAUACAGGAGGGUCAUGACGGUACCGUAAGAAUAAGCACCGGCUAACUACGUG